GUGGACACCCAGACUUUUUGGCAAUGCAGGAUGAAGCACCACUGAAAGCCGUUGAGGAGGAAGAUAAUGUUUGCAAGAGCAGAGGAAGAAAAACUAGCUAUUUGCUGAGUGAGAAGUGAUAAAAUACGCAUAGUAAAGAGAAGACUUAGCGUUGGUGAGCUUUCAACCCAAUUAGAAAGCGUUCCAGCAACUCUGUCUAACUUCUUGUUGCUAAUUCCCCCACCUCAGAGUGGGCCUCUGAACUAAGGGCAAUGAGAGGCAAGUUUAGCUGAAGAGUCUCUACGUUCCGUGAACACACAUCCAUCAGCGUUCUGGCACGUGCAUGCUACAACUCCAUGGUAGGGUAUUUACAAUGGUGCACAGAACAGUGCUGGUCCCAGUCCUGGUGGAGCUUGCAGUUUGGGGAAGAAUGAAAAAAAUAAAUAAACAACAGGCGUACCUGGGAGAUACUGCAGGUUCGGUUCCAGACCACCACCAUAAAGUGAAUGUCGCAAUAAAAAACAAUAUACACUGCGAAAUGUAAAUCAGUGAGGAGGCUGGGCUAAGUUUCCAGAGGCACUCAAGUUUCUCCUGGCAGCACUGAUGAUCUGGAGAAAAUUGGGGGCACCCCAGGUAUGUUUCUGGUUGUGAAGGACAGAAGGCGGGACCUGAGAGCAUCCGGUUUCCUGUCUGCUAUGGAAGCAUAGCUGCUACUUUAACUGAUAAUUCAGUUGCCUUACUUCAUCUGGAAAGUGCCGUUGGGGUGUGAGAGUCUCCUCCAGCUUACAGUGGAUGCUCUGCAAAGCCAGACUGUUUCAAAUGGGUGCUGUUGAUUCAAUGGAAGUAUUAAAAUGAAAAUGAAACGUUCAACCAGCAGGUCACAAAGGCGUCACAAAGCACCAAGUAGAUGACGGUUUAUAAAAUGUUUAGGAAAUUUUUGACAACAUGGAA
rnacentral:lncRNA from 1 species